rnacentral:rRNA from 1 species
CAGCCGUAAACAAUGUGCGUUAGGUGUGUCGGUAACCACGCGUUACUGAUGCGCCGAAGAGAAAUCGUGAAACGCACCACCUGGGAAGUACGGUCGCAAGGCUGAAACUUAAAGGAAUUGGCGGGGGAGCACCGCAACGGGAGGAGCGUGCGGUUUAAUUGGAUUCAACGCCGAAAAACUCACCAGCAGCGACUGUUACAUGAAAGUCAGGUUGAUGACCUUACUAGAUUUUCAGAGAGGAGGUGCAUGGCGUCAGUGACU